rnacentral:rRNA from 1 species
CUAACUUCGUGCAGGCAAGGACGCGUUAAUACCGGAGGUGCCAAGGCGUUAUCCCGGAUUUAUUGGGUUUAAGGGUUCGUAGGCUGGAUGUGUAGUCAGUGGUGAAAUCUCACAGCUUAAACUGUGAAACUGCCCAUUGAUACUGCAUGUCUUGAGUGUUGUUGAAGUAGCUGGAAUAAGUAGUGUAGCGGUGAAAUGCAUAGAUAUUACUUAGAACACCAAUUGCGAAGGCAGGUUACUAAGCAACAACUGACGCUGAUGGACGAAAGCGUGGGGAGCGAACAGGAUUAGAUACCCUGGUAGUCCACGCCGUAAACGAUGCUAACUCGUUUUUGGGUUUUCGGAUUCAGAGACUAAGCGAAAGUGAUAAGUUAGCCACCUGGGGAGUACGAACGCAAGUUUGAAACUCAAAGGAAUUGACGGGGGCCCGCACAAGCGGUGGAUUAUGUGGUUUAAUUCGAUGAUACGCGAGGAACCUUACCAAGGCUUAAAUGGGAAAUGACAGGUUUAGAAAUAGACUUUUCUUCGGACAUUUUUCAAGGUGCUGCAUGGUUGUCGUCAGCUCGUGCCGUGAGGUGUUAGGUUAAGUCCUGCAACGAGCGCAACCCCUGUCACUAGUUGCCAUCAUUAAGUUGGGGACUCUAGUGAGACUGCCUACGCAAGUAGAGAGGAAGGUGGGGAUGACGUCAAAUCAUCACGGCCCUUACGCCUUGGGCCACACACGUAAUACAAUGGCCGGUACAGAGGGCAGCUACACAGUGAUGUGAUGCAAAUCUCGAAAGCCGGUCUCAGUUCGGAUUGGAGUCUGCAACUCGACUCUAUGAAGCUGGAAUUCGCUAGUAAUCGCGCAUCAGCCAUGCGCCGAUGGCGGCG